GGGGGGGGUAAGCGUUGUUCGGAAUUACUGGGCGUAAAGGGCUCGUAGGCGGCCAACUAAGUCAGACGUGAAAUCCCUCAGCUUAACUGGGGAACUGCGUCUGAUACUGGAUGGCUUGGAUUCGGGAGAGGGAUGCGGAAUUCCAGGUGUAGCGGUGAAAUGCGUAGAUAUCUGGAGGAACACCGGUGGCGAAGGCGGCAUCCUGGACCGAUAUUGACGCUGAGGAGCGAAAGCCAGGGGAGCAAACGGGAUUAGAUACCCCGGUAGUCCUGGCCCUAAACGAUGAAUGCUUGGUGUGGCGGGUAUCGAUCCCUGCCGUGCCGAAGCUAACGCAUUAAGCACUCCGCCUGGGGAGUACGGUCGCAAGGCUG
rnacentral:rRNA from 1 species